AGAGUUUGAUCAUGGCUCAGAGCGAACGCUGGCGGCGUGCUUAACACAUGCAAGUCGAGUGCGCAGUUUCCUGUAGCAAUACAGGGGAUGGGCGCACGGCGCACGGGUGCGUAACACGUGGGUAACCUGCCCUCUGAUGGGGGAUAACCCCGCGAAAGCGGGGCUAAUACCGCAUGACAUUCCGAGAAUCUCGGUUCUUGGAUUCAAAGCCCGCAAGGGCGUCGGAGGAGGGGCCCGCGCCCGAUUAGCUCGUUGGUGAGGUAACGGCUCACCAAGGCUGUGAUCGGUAGCCGGUCUGAGAGGACGACCGGCCACACUGGAACUGAGACACGGUCCAGACUCCUACGGGAGGCAGCAGUGGGGAAUCUUGCGCAAUGGGCGAAAGCCUGACGCAGCGACGCCGCGUGGGGGAUGAAGCCCUUCGGGGUGUAAACCCCUUUCGACCCGGACGAAUGGCCCGCAAGGGAGUUGACGGUACGGGUAGAAGAAGCCCCGGCUAACUACGUGCCAGCAGCCGCGGUAAAACGUAGGGGGCCAGCGUUGCUCGGAAUUACUGGGCGUAAAGGGUCCGUAGGCGGUGUGGCAAGUCGGGAGUGAAAUCUCAUGGCUUAACUGUGAGACUGCUUCCGAAACUGCUGUGCUCGAGUGCGGGAGAGGCGAGUGGAAUUGCCGGUGUAGCGGUGAAAUGCGUAGAUAUCGGCAGGAACACCCGUGGCGAAGGCGGCUCGCUGGACCGCAACUGACGCUGAGGGACGAAAGCUAGGGGAGCAAACAGGAUUAGAUACCCUAGUAGUCC
rnacentral:rRNA from 1 species